GGGCUAUAGCUCAGUGGUAAAACAUCUGCUUUGCAGGUAGAAGGUCUCAGGUUCAAUUCAUGGCAUCUCCA